rnacentral:rRNA from 1 species
UACGAAGGAUCCAAGCGUUAUCCGGAUUCAUUGGGUUUAAAGGGUGCGUAGGCGGUUUUGUAAGUCAGUGGUGAAAGCCGGUCGCUUAACGAUCGAACUGCCAUUGAUACUGCAGAACUAGAGUGCAGAUGACGUUGGCGGAAUGUGUCAUGUAGCGGUGAAAUGCAUAGAUAUGACACAGAGCACCGAUUGCGAAGGCAGCUGACGAAACUGCAACUGACGCUGAUGCACGAAAGUGCGGGGAUCAAACAGG